rnacentral:piRNA from 1 species
GAAGGAAAGGAAUAUUCUGCUGGG